rnacentral:rRNA from 1 species
CCUACGGGUGGCUGCAGUGGGGAAUAUUGGACAAUGGGCGAAAGCCUGAUCCAGCCAUGCCGCGUGUGUGAAGAAGGCCUUCGGGUUGUAAAGCACUUUCAGUGGGGAAGAAAGCCUUGGGGCUAAUACCCUCGAGGAAGGACAUCACCCACAGAAGAAGCACCGGCUGACUCCGUGCCAGCAGCCGCGGUAAUACGGAGGGUGCGAGCGUUAAUCGGAAUUACUGGGCGUAAAGCGCGCGUAGGCGGUCUGAUAAGCCGGUUGUGAAAGCCCCGGGCUCAACCUGGGAACGGCAUCCGGAACUGUCAGGCUAGAGUGCAGGAGAGGAAGGUAGAAUUCCCGGUGUAGCGGUGAAAUGCGUAGAGAUCGGGAGGAAUACCAGUGGCGAAGGCGGCCUUCUGGACUGACACUGACGCUGAGGUGCGAAAGCGUGGGUAGCAAACAGGAUUAGAUACCCGUGUAGUC